CCUACGGGAGGCAGCAGUGGGGGAUAUUGCACAAUGGGGGAAACCCUGAUGCAGCGACGCCGCGUGGGUGAAGAAGCGCCUCGGCGCGUAAAGCCCUGUCAGCAGGGAAGAAAAUGACGGUACCUGAAGAAGAAGCCCCGGCUAACUCCGUCCCAGCGGCCGCGGUAAGACGGAGGGGGAAAGCGUUAUCCGGAUUUACUGGGUGUAAAGGGGGCGCAGACGGCGAUGCAAGCCAGGAGUGAAAGCCCGGGGCCCAACCCCGGGACGGCUCUUGGAACUGCGUGGCUGGAGUGCAGGAGGGGCAGGCGGAAUUCCUGGUGUAGCGGUGAAAUGCGUAGAUAUCAGGAGGAACACCGGUGGCGAAGGCGGGCUGCUGGACUGCAACUGACGUUGAGGCCCGAAAGCGUGGGGAGCAAACAGGAUUAGAUACCCGAGUAGUC
rnacentral:rRNA from 1 species